rnacentral:rRNA from 1 species
GACGAACGCUGGCGGCGUGCCUAAUACAUGCAAGUCGAGCGAACGGACGAGAGGCUUGCUUCUCUGAUGUUAGCGGCGGACGGGUGAGUAACACGUGGAUAACCUACCUAUAAGACUGGGAUAACUUCGGGAAACCGGAGCUAAUACCGGAUGAUAUUUUGAACCGCAUGGUUCAAAAGUGAAAGACGGUCUUGCUGUCACUUAUAGAUGGAUCCGCGCUGCAUUAGCUAGUUGGUAAGGUAACGGCUUACCAAGGCAACGAUGCAUAGCCGACCUGAGAGGGUGAUCGGCCACACUGGAACUGAGACACGGUCCAGACUCCUACGGGAGGCAGCAGUAGGGAAUCUUCCGCAAUGGGCGAAAGCCUGACGGAGCAACGCCGCGUGAGUGAUGAAGGUCUUCGGAUCGUAAAACUCUGUUAUUAGGGAAGAACAUAUGUGUAAGUAACUGUGCACAUCUUGACGGUACCUAAUCAGAAAGCCACGGCUAACUACGUG